rnacentral:rRNA from 1 species
GCGGGCGAGGUUGCUUCGGUAACUGAGCUAGCGGCGGACGGGUGAGUAAAGCUUAGGAAUCUGCCUAUUAGUGGGGGACAACAUUCCGAAAGGGAUGCUAAUACCGCAUACGUCCUACGGGAGAAAGCAGGGGAUCACUUGUGACCUUGCGCUAAUAGAUGAGCCUAAGUCGGAUUAGCUAGUUGGUGGGGUAAAGGCCUACCAAGGCGACGAUCUGUAGCGGGUCUGAGAGGAUGAUCCGCCACACUGGGACUGAGACACGGCCCAGACUCCUACGGGAGGCAGCAGUGGGGAAUAUUGGACAAUGGGGGGAACCCUGAUCCAGCCAUGCCGCGUGUGUGAAGAAGGCCUUUUGGUUGUAAAGCACUUUAAGCGAGGAGGAGGCUUACCUGGUUAAUACCUGGGAUAAGUGGACGUUACUCGCAGAAUAAGCACCGGCUAACUCUGUGCCAGCAGCCGCGGUAAUACAGAGGGUGCGAGCGUUAAUCGGAUUUACUGGGCGUAAAGCGCGCGUAGGUGGUUAAUUAAGUCAAAUGUGAAAUCCCCGAGCUUAACUUGGGAAUUGCAUUCGAUACUGGUUAGCUAGAGUAUGGGAGAGGAUGGUAGAAUUCCAGGUGUAGCGGUGAAAUGCGUAUAGAUCUGGAGGAAUACCGAUGGCGAAGGGAGCCAUCUGUCCUAA